GGAGAGGUGCCGGAGCCAGGUCGAACGGGCCUCCCUGCUAAGGAGGUGUGGGGGCAACCUCACCGUGGGUUCGAAUCCCACCCUCUCCG
rnacentral:tRNA from 1 species